rnacentral:rRNA from 1 species
UUUAAGCAUAUCACUCAGUGGAGGAAGAGCAAGCAACUGCGAUUGCUUCAGUAACGGCGAGUGAACUGGCAAUGGAUCUCGACCCGAAGUGAUUCCCAACCGCACUCAGUGCGUUCGGCUUUCGUGGGUUUCAGCAUAUGCUGUGGGCUAUGGAGCGAGUGGCAGCUGCCUUGGAUGGCUAUUGCACCAGGAAGUGACCUGGAAUGGUCCACGAGAGAAGGAUACUGUCCUGUACACACAUCGUGUGUGGUGGUCAUCUGAGGUGCUGCUGCUUGCAUCCAGGAGUAGAGUGGCUUGGGACUGCAGUUUGAAGUGCGUGGUGUAUCCAACGCAAGGACGAAUACCGGCUCGAGACCGAUAGCGCACAAGUAGAGUGAUUGAAGGAUGCAAAGGACUUUGCAAAGAGGGUUAAAAGUCCCUGAAGCCGCGAUGGGAACGGCGGUGCGUGGUGCUGUGGCUUUGCGAUCCAGGUGGUUGGCUCAGUUGUUGAGGGUGGAUUGCCACUGGACCCAGAUCUUGGGGAUCCAGACCACUCCGCGAUGACUUGGGUGGAUCAUGCUGAUCGCUGCUGUGAGCUUGGGACGACAUCAGCCAAAACUCAGGGCCUGACUUCAACACAGCCUUGGGGAUGUUCGGACCUGGCCACAGGAUGCAUUGAUUCCAAGCGACCUUGGGCCAGCCCUCAGCUGGCUACUGAGCCUAGCUCUCCAGAGUUGGAUGCAAUCGUGGCAGCUAUGAGGUGGCAAUCAGCUUGACUGGGCCUGAGGCUUGAGUUAUCCCAAAGGGUGUGCAGAGAUGUGGUGGCCAACCCACAAGGGCAUGGUGGUCCUCAAUCGAGGCUUGUCCGAGUGGAUCCACAGCAGCUUGUCUCCAGAUGAAUUGACACAGCUUGUUCCUGGUGUGUCUUCGGACAUGCCAGUGCCUACGCCUGGCCAUGGCGGAGCUGACGGUUUGGUUGUGGCUGCACCACUCUGAUGGUGGCCCAGCUGGACUGGCGGUUCUCCAGACAGCGUGUAGUGCUGAAGGCAGUGAAGCUUGGUGCAGCAGUGCCAUGCUCUGCCCGUCUUGAAACACGGACCAAGGAGUCUACGGAGCUUGCAGGUUAGCAGGUCAAAACCGCAGUGCAUGGUGAAGGCAACAAACCCAGAUGGUGCUUGGAAUAUGGGCAGAACCAAAGGGCUGAAGCAAGGGCUGCGCGUCUCGGAGGCAACGUGAAGUCUUGGAUCCAGUGGCAUGUGGGAAACGCCCUAACAGGCUAGAAUCUGUGCCACCCGAGGCAAAGCGCCAACUCCGGAUGUGUAAGUGUGCCGAAGCCUUGCCCAAGGCAAGAAGUGCAGCAUGGGACACCGAUCCCGAAGUCCAGUGGACAGGGUUUUGAGUGAAUGCAAGGUCCGUGGGACCCGAAAGGUGGUGAACUAUACCGUUCUAUGACGAAGCCGUGGGAAACUGCGGUGGAGGUCAGUCGCUGUUCUGACGUGCAAAUUGUGUAGCCUGAGUGUGGCAUAGGGGUGAAAGGCCAAUCGAGCCACCUAGUAGCUGGUUUCCCUCGAAGUUUCCCUCAGGAUAGCUGGGCUCGAACGCCAUCUCCAAGUGAUUGUGUCCGGUAAAGCAACGCAUGAGAGGCAACCCUGGGGACUUUCUGGUCCUCAACCUAUUCUCGAACUGUGAAUGGGCGCGGCAAACACCAAAGGCAUGCUUCUUCACUGUGCUGGAGUCGGUCUUACAGCCGUUCUCCUGGCUUCUGAGCGUGUUUAAGGUGGCAGCCUGAACCUGCCAAAGACUGGAGCUAAAGAUCUGCUGAGUGUCCCCGAGACAGAUUUCCCAAGGGCAUGCAUCUCUGUGAGGCUGCCCGAAGGCUGGCUUGGGUCGAUUGUCGCGGAUCCUCCAGGCGUUCAUGUGGACUUGUUCCGCGUGUGGUGCGAAAGGCUGCUGCUAUGAUGAACAGACGUGCCUAUGUGGGCCAAAAUUGGUAAGCAGUGCUGGCGAUGCGGGGUGCUCCGAGAGUGGACUUAAAGAUCCAGAGUGCUGGCUCAUACCCAGAUCCCACAAAGGAUGUCGCCUGCUAGGGAUAGCAGGACGGUGGCCAUGAAGGUUGGAACCCGCUAAGGAAUGUGUAACAACUCACCUGCCGAAGCGUGCAGCUCCGAAAAUGGAUGGUGCCCAAGUCAGUGAAGCUGAAUUUGCCUUACAGUCCACCGCCGCUGUGGCAGCAAAGCAGAGCAUCGUUGUGUAGAAAGGACGUGGGAGACUGCAGAGCCAGUUGGGAUUGCUCCCAGCUGAAGUGUCUUCUGGUGCAGAUCUUGGUUGCAGUAGCGAGUACUCCAUCGGGUGAAGAGCAGAACAACCCUGCUGUGUGCGGUUGAGGACUGGAGUGGAGCAGGUUUCCGCACCAAACAGCCGUUGAAUGCGGGUCAGCCGACCGUGAGCCAAGUGGUAAAUCACCGAACAACCAAAGCUGCCGUUCCCUUGGGAGCAGACCAGGAAGUCUAGCGGGCACACCAGGCGUUCAAGGUUCGAUCUCGGGCCACGCCAGCACCAAAGUGUGGGCCAGCAGGCGACUUGGGUCUCAAUCGGUCUUGGCAGGAGUGGCAAACAGGCAAGCAAGUGCAACAUUCUGCUGUGAUGGGCUUGGAGUGCUCAUGGUGGUAACACCAUUGACUGGUGCAAGCAGGCUUCGGGGCAGUGCACCCCCUGAGGAGUUCUCGUUUCCUCCUGAUGCAGGUUCAUGCGGGCUAUCGAUUGGAUUUCAUUGUCGAGGGAUAUGCCCUCCACACAGCAAGGCAGCAUGCUCUCUAUGCUGAUGGUCUCAGACACAAAGCGCUCAAAGCACUGGCAAAGUGUGAAGCUAUUGGUGGUCACUGGCUCCAAUGAACAGCCUGCGGGACAACGUGCUCCUGGUCCCUGGCUUUCGUACUGAAUCACCGCAGCCGGUCUCCUCGACUAGACGUCGCUUGUCCACGGACGAAAUGCAGCUAAGGGAAGUCGGCAAACUAGCCAUGUACCUUCGGAAGAUGUGGUGGCUCCAGGGAUCAAGUCAUCGGGCCUAGCUGUGGGCUGUGUGGUGUGGUGGUGGAUGCCUCCGUGGGUGGCUUCGGUCAUCUGUGGUGGACUGUCUGCCUACCGCCCGCGCUCCUCCGUGGCUAGGGCUGAUCAGCCUUCGGGUUGGUUGGCCAUCCUGGUGUCUACUGAGUGGUCAAUAUGGAACUGUUGCUGUGCAAGGGAAUCUGACUGUUUAAUUGAAACACAGCUUUGUGACGGGACCAGCUGGCUGGUGCCAUGAGGUGACUUCUGCCCAGUGCUCUGAUUGUUACUGCGAAGAGAUUCAGCCAAGCGCGGGUAAACGGCGGGAGUAACUAUGACUCUCUUAAGGUAGCCAAAUGCCUCGUCAACCAAUUAUUGACGCGCAUGAAUGGAUCAACGAGAUUCCUGCUGUCCCUAGUUGCUGUCUGGUGAACCAACAGCCAAGGGAACGGGCUUGGGUGUGUCAGCGGGGAAAGAA